rnacentral:snRNA from 1 species
GGCGUCGGCCUGUGGGCUCCCCAUUCGACC